rnacentral:rRNA from 1 species
AUUGAACGCUGGCGGCAUGGCUAAAACAUGCAAGUCGAACGCCUGUAGCAAUACAGGAGUGGCGAAAGGGCGAGGAAUAGAUUCCUAUGUACCUCAAGGUCGGGGAUACCCCGGAGAAAUCCGGAUCAAUACCCGAUGUGGUCGAGAGAUCAAAGGUUUACCGCCUUGAGAGCAGGGAAUCUCCUAUCAGGUAGUUGGUGAGGUAAUGGCUCACCAAGCCGAAGACGGGUAGCGGGUGUGAGAGCACGGCCCGCCGCAUCGAGACUGAGACACUGCUCGGACUCCUACGGGAGGCUGCAGUAACGAAUCUUCCGCAAUGCGCGAAAGCGUGACGGGGCAAUGCCGCGUGCAGGAUGAAGCCCUUCGGGGUGUAAACUGCUGUCAGGGUGCAGGAAUGAAAUGACCAUA